AUGUAUGAAUUGUGGGAGCAACUGUACGAUCCGGAUUUAGACCCUGAAAUGGUUGGUCCCGAAAUGAUAACCCAUGCUCCUGACAAGCUUCGUGACCAUGUCUACAUCAGGGUAUUUAUCUUUCCGGAUCCGUCCACAGGAAGCUACAUUGUGGUUCUCAUCCAUGGUCCAGGAUGUCAGCUUUCGUUUGCAAGGGUAGGAGAUUGUAAGUGGACCUUGCUGACGCUGGAUUGGGACUAUGAUCAAUGCAUCUACAUGGAUGGUCUAUUGUAUGCAUCCACAAGAGCCGGAAGAAUGGAUGCUUUUGACCUCACUGGUCCUACCGUCACGAGGAAUAUAAUUGCAGAUGAGAUUGCCAUUCACAGUUCUGAGUACAGGGGCGAAUUCUACCUUCUUCAGGCUCCAUGGGGUGAUCUGCUGCAAGUUUGCAGGAAGGCUGAACUCAUAGAUGCGGGCUAUGAGGAGCUCAUAGUUAAAACUAAUAAAAUCUUGUUACACAAAGUCGAUAUGGAAGCACAAGAGCUUGUGGAAAUAAAUAGCUUGCAUCAUAACGUGUUGUUUCUGGGGCGUAACCAGUCUAUAUGCCUUAGUGCUGAAGAAUAUCCGCAACUGAAGGCAAAUUGUGUCUAUUUCGCAGAUGAUGAGCAACACAAUUGGAAGUAUAAGACGAAUCCCCGGGACAUAGGUGUUCUCAACCUUGAAGAUGACAGUAGGGAGGAAAUUGUGUCCCCGCUUUGGUCCAGCUGGCCAAGUCCCAUAUGGAUAACACCCAGUCUUACAGUGAUGAACCUGUCAUUGUACAAAUAG
rnacentral:rRNA from 1 species